rnacentral:lncRNA from 1 species
GGCAAGUGGUCACAUUGGGACGGCAGCGGCGGCUUUCACGGAUCUCUUGCCUGCGCUCACACUUGGCCUCAUAGCUCUCAGCCCACCGGGCCAAGCCAGGGGAGGGCCUGGGGUCUGGGCUGAUCAUGAUGACCUCCAAGCACCUGUUGCGCUUGGCUUCCAGUUCCUGGAAUAGAUGCCUGGAUCUGUCAGGGUUAAUGUUGGUGCCAAGUCUGCU